ensembl:lncRNA
CUUUUGAGUCAAAAAGUUUGAGAACCAAUGCUGUGUGUUUUUGUGUCCGCUUGGUCACGCAUUCACAUUCAUUAGUUUAAUAGAUUCUUUCUUGAAACAUCCUGUUCACACAGUCUCCAGUGAUGCAUGGCAUGGCCACAGGUGCAUGGCUCCUCUCUCUUUCCCUGUCACGGUCUUAUCUUGUCUGACUCUCUUGCUAGUUUCCCACGAGAUCUCACUGAUGCAAUCACCUUCACCUAGUGCUCCAUAAAUAUGUCCUAUUUUCUGUGCCCCUCUAAUGCAUUUAAAACGAGCUUAAUGGUCGUCAUUUCUCUCACAGUGACGGUUAGCCUAUGCAAUGUGAGGGGGAACUGUAGAACAGCACCAAAACAGCUUCAGGGCAUGCCCACUAUUCAGUCAACAGUGGGCAUCCUGCUCGGAACCCUGGGAGUUAUAGGCGUCAUACUGAUUGCUAUAUUUGUGAGACUGUCUUACCAGAAUUCAACACCACCAAACAAAGGCUGCCAGGAACGCGUGCCACUUAAAGUCUCUCUCUAACUUCUGAGAGUUUUUAGAUUAUUCGGCCAAGCUGUUUUAGAGAUGGAGAAUAAUAAUCCCAUCCCCCGGGAUAAUAACCAGGCUGAAACAGUUUCACAUUUAGUGAGACAGGAAAGGUUACCCACGAUCCCUUUUAGCCAGCCAUCUCCUGUUUAUGUUGAGAUGACACUGGCGAACGUGACCCAGAUGACCUUACAAGUAUGCUAUAUAUAGACAUUCAGUGCGCCAAAAAUAGCCACGCCACUGAGUCACAACAGUAGCCUUCCUGCUACGACUGUAAACGAAGCCUGUUUGGCAUCGAAUGUAUAGCAGGCACUAUUAUGUUCUACUCAGGUGCUCUUUUAAAAUAUCGGUAAGCAUGUCACAUUGCCUCAUGCACUUCCUGUCAUGUUUCUGCUAAAUCUUGCCAUGAGGACAUCAUUUGUGUAAUCUCUCAGGAUCUAUUUCAUGAUUAUUCUGCUAUUAAAGCAUAGAAUCAUAAUAUCACAUCCAGGGUUGCUCAUUCUGCCGGGGCGUAAGGAAAGAAUUGUAACAUCCAAAAACAACAUGCUGAUUAUUUACCCUCCAGCAGAGUUCCCAAUACUGACGUUUUCAGGAUGUCCCCUAAUGUAAUCUUAAAAAUACAACAUGUACGCAAAUACUACAAAAUAUGAAUUGCUUUUGGAACUGUCAACACAUUGCUUUGCUAUGAACAACCCCAUGAGGGUUAUGAAUGGUUAUGGUUGCAUAUAUUUGAAGGGCAGCAGCCCAAAAGAAUGUUUACAAAAAGACCCAGUCAUUGGUAGGUCAAGCCUAAUAAUACUGUGAAAGGCGGGGUCUAUAUUUAGAUUCUCUGGCCUUGUUUUAGUUCUCUUAGGAUCAGAUCGGUACAGCUGGCUAACAGGCCAGAUUAUACUAUCAACCAGCUGAAACUGUGAGCUUUAGCUUGUUAACCUUUGUCAAAAUGUAUGUACAUUUUGGUAUAAAGAGAGGAAAGGCAGACUGAAAAACAGGGUUUUGUAAAACUCCAAAAACGUACGUAUUGAUCACAGCAGUUUCCAGCUGAAAUGAAUACUAGCGGCAGUAAAACACCAACGUUUUUUUCCUGUUUACACAAAUUAUGAGCACAGGGCAAAACAUUAAUAAAGAUGUAUUAAUGUUUGGUUCCUACA